CAGAUAGCAGCUGACUCUGGGCCGGAUCCGCCUCCAAACCGGCAGAUCCGUGUAACAGUCACCCCCGUUUUACUGCCCCAUUCCAGAUACGGCCCGCAUGUAGUCUGUGUACAUCGGGAGUAGGCGUGAACAUCCAUCAGUCGGCGGAAUCAUAAUAGUUCUGGCCCGGACUCGUCGGAACGAGCGCGCGAAUUGUUUCCUUUUUUUUUUUUUUAACCGGUUCAUUCCAGAUCAGAAGUCAGUCGGCGGAAUCGUUGUUGUUCUGGCCCGGGGCCGUUGGAACGAGCGCGUGAACUGUUGGUCAUUUGGAUCUUCGGACUGCAAGCUCCGUGGAAAGAGUUUAUAACGAUAUUUUCUUCACCCCUGGCUGCGAGAGCCCCGGAUUAAUAGGAGGCUGUACGGAAGAACCAAGUUGCUAGCAGCGCAUCGGACAACGAGAUUUACCAGCACGCCAUCCGCU